CAGCCGCCGCGGGAAUACGUAGGGUGCGAGCGUUAAUCGGAAUUACUGGGCGUAAAGCGUGCGCAGGCGGUUAUAUAAGACAGAUGUGAAAUCCCCGGGCUCAACCUGGGACCUGCAUUUGUGACUGUAUAGCUAGAGUACGGUAGAGGGGGAUGGAACUCCGCGUGUAGCAGUGAAAUGCGUAGAUAUGCGGAGGAACACCGAUGGCGAAGGCAAUCCCCUGGACCUGUACUGACGCUCAUGCACGAAAGCGUGGGGAGCAAACAGGAUUAGAUACCCCUGUAGUCCCUGUCUCUUAUAC
rnacentral:rRNA from 1 species